GGGAAAUGAGGAAUGGGUUUAAUCUCGCUUAUAAAUGCGUGAAGAGCGUACCGCUCAAAGCCUGUUACGACAAUUUGGGCGCUCCAAUUGUUAUACCAAUCUGAUCCC
rfam:Capsella rubella cultivar Monte Gargano unplaced genomic scaffold scaffold_7, whole genome shotgun sequence.